UCAAUUAAAUAUAGGUUGAACAUGAUUUGCAAAUCAUUGCAUUCUGUUUUUAUUUAUGUUCAACCCAACGUCCCAACUUCAUUGGAAUUGGGGUUGUAUGUUUAUUUUUUUUGUCUCCUGCUGUUUAACACAGAAGAGACUGAGGGCAGCAAGAAAACUGCCCACUGCAGUAAAGUGGAGACUGUAGAGUUAAAUGCACAUUAGCAUAUGUGUUUAUUUUUGUCAUUUAUAGUAGCAGUUUAUCCUACAGCAGUCUCCUCUAGGGUCAGGAAGAAAACGGACCACUGCAGCAAAGUGGAGACUGUGGAGUAUAAAUUAAUGCAACAGGGUAAAUUAAUGUCUGCUUGGAUUUGUAAUUUCCAUCAUUUAUUUAUUUUUUUUAUCCUGGAAGAGAAUAAGGGCAGCAAAAAGACGGGCUGCUGCAGUAAAGUGGAGUCUGUGGAGCAAAAUACUGCACAAACAGGAGAAAACUAAGGGCAGCAAGAAAACGGGCACUGCAACAAAGUGGAGACUGUAGAGAAUAAUACUGCAAGGUAACAUGGCUGGGCCCCCGCGCCGCACACCCGCGUCUCCGCUGCUCCCUGCUCUCCUCCGACUGUUCCGGCAGCCCCCGCCCCCCUCCAUCACGGCAAGUGUUGAAAUGUGUGUUUUUCCUGCAGCUGAAUCCUUCCUGUCACACUCGGCUUCAUUUUACUUUUGAAUUCCACUGAGGGAAGAAAAGUGGGUGGGGGGGCCGAUGCAUUGAUACUGAGAGUGUGUUGUGUGUGUGUGUAAGGGCAAACAACACAUGCAUUCCACAGGUGACCUCAAAUUGCAUCAACCACUUCUGUGACAUAUGCAAACUAGAGCAGGGGUGGGAAACUUUUAUUCUCUCAUGGGCCUUAUUAAAUGUAUGGACAAUUAUAUACAAAAUGUUUAUCAUUAUUAUAAUGAUACACUAAAUAUGUUUGGCCCUUUUAUAACAUUUCCUGCAAGGUUUUGUUUCAAGGUAUUUGUAUUUUACUGUCCACCU